UACGUAGGUGGCAAGCGUUGUCCGGAUUUAUUGGGCGUAAAGCGAGCGCAGGCGGAAAGAUAAGUCUGAUGUGAAAGCCCCCGGCUUAACCGAGGAAUUGCAUCGGAAACUGGGAGACUUGAGUGCAGAAGAGGAGAGUGGAACUCCAUGUGUAGCGGUGAAAUGCAUAGAUAUAACUUAGAACACCGAUAGCGAAGGCAGCUUACCAGACUGAGUCUGACGCUGAUGCACGAGAGCAUGGGUAGCGAACAGG
rnacentral:rRNA from 1 species